rnacentral:misc_RNA from 1 species
CUUGAAUGGCCAUCAUCAACAUAUGUCUUGUAGAUUGUACGUCUUCCUAAUGCCUACAUGUACAAUGUGCACAGGUCCUCACACAUCCUGCAAUCAGAAGACAUCACCGGUAGCUGAUCUGUGGUCAUAGAGGUCUUGAGUAGACUCGACACGACAUUUGUGAAGAGGGCUGAACGCGCAAGCCUGCCUGAGCUAUGAAGGAUAACCAUAAUGCUAAAUUCCAGCUUGCGCUGGAGGAAGGGGUAACUUCCAAGACGCCCAGCAAGAUUCCCCUUCUUCUGGCGGGAAUAUUUGUGGUGACCACCGUGGCCCUUCUGGUCACCACAAUUGUGUUCGGAUUGCAGAGGAACAACAUCGCGAGCGAAUUAGACAAGUUGAAGGCAAAACCACAGGAAUCUGGUUGGAUUUGCACCACCAAGCAGUGCUAUGAGUCUGCUUACACGUACUUGAGCAACAUGGAUCAGAGCAAGAAUCCCUGUGAUAAUUUCUUCGAGUACGCAUGCGGCGGCUGGAUCAAGAGCCACGUGAUUCCUGAGGACGAAACCAGCUACUCCGUUCUCAUUAAGAUCAGAGACAGUGUCAUAGACAAGCUGAAAGCUUUAUUUGAAGGAAGCCCGACCACCGGCGAGCCCGAUCCAUAUCACGUUGUGAGGAAUUACUACAAGUCUUGCGAGGACAUGGACACCAUCAACGAGCUUGGGGCCGAACCUCUGACUGACCUGCUUACGUCGCUCGGUGGUUGGCCGGUCCUCGGAGACAACCCAGCGGGUGGGAACUGGGACCCGGCCGCCUUCGACUUUGAGAAGCUGUGGGCCGACAUCAGGGGCAAAUACGACGUGCAGAUGUUCGUUGCUACUGAAGUAUCGCCUGUCCGGAACAAACCAAAAUAUACAUUGACUGCACAGAUACCAGAUUUUGGAGUUCCUUAUGAUGAGAUCGAGGAGAAAAAACGGCCUGGAAUCAAGACUUUGUUUAAGGAAAGCCACGACACUCGUUACAGAGGGGCGGAGAUUCUUUUGGAAGAGAAGUAUUCCAAAAUGAAGGAAGCGUACCGCCAAUACGCCAUCGACAUUGCGUUGGCAUUAGGGGCGAGUGAGGCUGUUGCAACACAAGACAUAAAUGAUCUCAUCGAGUUUGAAACAACUUUGGCAAACUUCACCGCUUUGUCAUAUUUUUCACCAGAAGAAACCACUCUCGGGGGAAUUGGAAUGAAUGUGACGGACUGGGUGCGUCUUUACCAGCUGAUGUUGCCAGAGAGUGUUCAGCAGGUUGUUACCGAGGACGAGCCGAUCGUCGUCUACUGGCCAGAUUAUAUGUCCGACGUGACAGCGUGGCUCAAAGACCAAGACAACAGGACCAAGGCCAAUUACAUGAUUUGGCGGCUCGUCGUCCGGAUGGUACCCUUCAUGGAUGAGACGUUCCUAGCCAUGCGACGGAGAUACUUCGAGGGCUUGAACCACACUGUAACCACCAUGGCCCGCUGGAAGAUGUGCGUCUCCAACGUUGACAACCAAUACAAAUUCAUCAGCGGGAGGAUGUACGUGGACGAACACUUCCCUGACGACACCAAGCAGAACGUACUGAACAUGUCUCGCAAUCUGCAGAAGACUUUCAAAUCAAUGCUCAACACGCAUGACUGGAUGCCAGAAGAAGAGAGGAAGGCCUGUGUCAAAAAGACAGGUAAGAUGGCUAUCGAAAUCGGCUACCCAGGCUGGAUAAAGAACAACACCAAGUUUGAAGCAGAGUAUGCCAAUGUAACUGCCAAGGAGGGCGAGUACUUCCAAAACGCCUUGAGGUACCGAGAGUGGAAUUCACGGCACGAACUGGCACACUAUGGGGACGAUUUGUCGGACACACUGUGGUCAUCUUUUGGGCCGACUGUUGUCAAUGCAUUCUACAACAGUUGGUUGAACGGAAUGGUGUUCCCGGCUGGCAUCCUUCAACCGCCUUUUUACCAUAAGGACCUGCCAGGGUAUUCCAACUACGGGUCUAUAGGUUAUAUCAUUGGACACGAAAUAACGCAUGGUUUUGAUACUCAUGGGUUGAUAGACACACGUAUAGGGGGUGAAGGCCCUGGGUCAGCCUCGAUAAGUCGUGAGUCAUUGGACAUAUUACGGCAGAAAGCUAAGUGCAUCGCCGAGCAGUAUUCAGAUUUUGUGAUGGAAGAAAACAACAGAAACCUCAACGGAGAACAGACACUGAACGAAAACAUUGCUGAUAACGGAGGCCUUAGAGAGGCUUAUAAGGCCUACAUGGACAACUUUCCUCACCAGCCUAGUCUUCCCCGUAUUCUUUUCACGGAGGAGCAGAUGUUCUUCCUGUCAUUCUCCCAGACCUCCUGCGGUUUAUUCACACCUGAAGGAGCGGACGAAUACAUCGAGGAUGACGUUCACAGCCCAGGUCGAUUCAGAGUCAUUGGUACGCUGCAAAACACCGAAGCGUUCCACGCUGCAUUCAACUGCCCUGCUGGAAGCUACAUGAACCCAAAUGAAAAAUGCAGGGUUUGGUAAUAAAAAGGUUUGCGGGCGCAGCCAGCCUGGCAAACACCAACCCGUCUAUCCUAAAGUGAUAAUCAGGCUGCCUCAACAAACUUUACUUGAUUCUACGUCUAUUAUUGUAUCAAUGUUUCCAGCAGUAAACGUGCAGUAGGUCUGGUUUGAAUUUUAGAAAGUUGGUACCACGUGACACCACGAACGUAGUAAAGGCUCUUUGUAUAGGGAUAAAUUUUUACUGCUAAGCACCCACAGGUUCGAACGGGUUCGAGUUUUAUUGUUUAGCUUAGAUUAUACCUGGAUAGUUUGUAUGUAAAACAUACUAUUGUAGGCAUUGUAUUUCUGGCAUGAAGCAAUAGUAGGCUUGCUUCUUCCUAUUGCAAAGUAGAUGCCGGUUGACCAGUUUUGACACACGGGAAAUGGACAGCAUUAAGGGUCUCUCCAUGCUGGCACAGUGCCAUUUCGUUCAGCAUCACGAACCGCUAAGCACCCACAGAGUAAAGAGGUUUGCGGUAGCAUCCCACAAGGAAAUCUCUUUUCAAGUAUGUGUGGUUCUGAAAGUGAUCAGAUGCUCAAUGUUCCGGACAGGAGGCUUUCUCCGUCGUCAGGACACUACAGAGGCUCCAUUGAUGAAGCAGUUUAAUAUGGUGUCUAUAGAGGCGGCGAGGUGUUAAGAGGAUGCUAACCCGGGAUUCAACUGGAACCAGGGUACUCAAGCAGGACGACCAGUCCAGAAGCUAGAAGAUCAUGAGGUGUGUCAAUCUGACGGAGGGGAGCGUGGGGAAAGUUGCCAAGAGCUUAAGAGACCAACAGGCUGGAAACAUGACCUAGGGUAUCGAAGACCCAUUGGACUUGGAUGUGAGGAUGCGUUUUUAUUACUUUACAUAGUGUGUAUAUACAUGUACUUCAUAAAUAUGGCAGUACUGCCUCAUCAGUUACUCUGCAUUGUGUAAAUGUAGAUGGUGCUGAAAUAAAUAGGGAUAACGGCAUUAAGAUAAAAACUGAUAGGAUUACUUUAUUACGUACUGGGAAUCUUAAAAAGUUGUCCAUGUUAACAGCCCCUUUAACAAUAAUCGCAAUUGUUUUGUUUAAACUUCCUGUUGAGAACAUUUGAGAUUAGGCUUGAAUAUUGUUAUUUACAGAAUUUAUUUCGAGCAGAAUUUCUAGUCAAGACGGGGGUCAACUGAAAUUGCCGAGAAUUAACAAAUUUAGGGACAUGAA